GUACAUUAAAAAUUAUCACUCUUUACCAUGUAUAUGUGUGACAUAACAUUUUGUACUAAUUCAGAAAUUCAAGAGGACGUCUAUGAUAUUAAUUUAUUGAACUAAGUCACCAACUAAGAAUGAAAAGCCUGCCACAAAGCAUAUGCUUAUAUUUCUCUAAGUUCAAUUGAACUCUCAAUCAAAAUUAAAAUUGCGGCUCUUUCAUAUCCCAAUUAUUUUUACUCCUCAAUCCUAAAUUG
rnacentral:misc_RNA from 1 species